CCCUGAGUUUGGAACAGUUGGAACCGUUAAGACGUAGUCUUCUGAAAGGUCUUCAGAUGGUUACAAUGUGUGUCCCUCUUCUCUUCUGUUUUCAAGAGGGAAGAGAUGCCCUUAGACCUGAAAACAGCAGUGAAAAUGGCCAGAAGAGACAGAAGCCGGAAGUGAAGUCUAGCUAAUAUUCUAAUAGACAAUCACAAACAACAUGUCUGCACCUAUCAACUCAAACCAGAGAGAUGUACAUAGCCUGUGAUGUCACAGAAACUGAAGGGGAAUGCAAAAGCAGUUUCCUCAUGACUUUGAAACGACCCAUGUGCUCCUCUGGUCAGGAGGAGCACAUCUGAACAGAUGGUAGGCGGUCCCAGGACUCAGCAGGGCACAAGUGGGAGGAGAAGGGCCCAGCUAUCAUCUACUCUGUGGAACUAUGGAAUCUAAAUUUCCUGGCAGGACUGGCAGUUGGCCCCUCAACAGUAAAUAUAGUUAAUAUUGUCCUUUUAAUGAACAGAAACUCUCAGGGCAGUUCAAUUUCCAUUUCAGUCCCCACUGUAGGAAUUAUUUAAGGACAAGGCCUAACUGUUGGCAUGCAGUUUGGAAAAGAUACUGUAUAGGUCUUUUUGAUGAAACAGUCUUCUUUGCUGAGCAAAUCAUCCAGAUGCUGGUAUUUAAAUUAUGCAAAAUACAUAAUACCAAUUAAAGAAAUUAUGUGUGAAAA